rnacentral:misc_RNA from 1 species
GAUGAAGAACGCAGCGAAAUGCGAUAAGUAAUGCGAAUUGCAGAAUUCCAGUGAGUCAUCGAAUCUUUGAACGCACAUUGCGCCCUUUGGUAUUCCGAAGGGCAUGCCUGUUCGAGCGUCAUUAUCACCCCUCACGCCCUCGGCUUGGUGUUGGACGGUUUGGUGGAGGCCCCCUCGGGGGCUCCUGCCCCUCCCAAAGACAAUGACGGCGGCCUCGUUGGACCCCCGGUACACUGAGUUCUUCACGGGACACGUAUCGGACACAUGGGUUUACGGGACACGGUCUGCCUCCCCUCAGGGAGAAUCUUUCUAAGGUUGACCUCGGAUCAGGUAGGGAUACCCGCUGAACUUAAGCAUAUCAAUAAGCGGAGGA